GUACUAUGCUCUAAACCGUUCUGGUGACAAAUACACUUUGUUUCCCUGUUUCCAAUCGUCCACAUGGCUGGGAGAACCUAUUCAAAUACAGAGAGCUGUGAAAGCCUGUCUGCAGAUGAAGAGGUCCCAAUGAAGAGCAGUGGUUCUCAGUCCUGGUCCUGGGGACUCAAAUGAGGGCACAUUCUUGUUUUUGCAUUAGUACUACACAGCUGAUUCAAAUGAUCAACUCAUCAUCAAGCUUCAAGGGAUACCUUGCAACUGGCGAUUCCUUCAAAACGAUUGCCUACAGUUACCGUGUAGGGCACUGCAAGGUUGGGUGACCAGGUCCAUCUGGGAUUGCCUCCUGGGGGAAUUCAGGCAUGUGAAGGCUACCUGUGUCCUGCAUAACUUCAUGAGAAUGGACACGAGGACCAGGAGCGGAUCUGAAGCUUGCUGCCAUGUGCCAGAGGAGAGGUCUGCUGCUCUGCAGGAUGUUUCAAGGACGGGGGCCAACAACGCAGCACGGGAGGCAAUCCGUGUGCAGGAGAUCUUCACUUCCUACUUUUUCGAAGAGGUUGCUGUUCCCUGGCAACACCAUAGACAACCAAAGGCUCUUUUAAGAGCCAUCCACAUUGCAAUAAGAGUAUUCUUCCAUUUACUUACCUACAUACAUUUACA